UACGUAGGGUGCGAGCGUUAAUCGGAAUUACUGGGCGUAAAGCGUGCGCAGGCGGUUUUGUAAGCCAGAUGUGAAAUCCCCGGGCUCAACCUGGGAAUGGCAUUUGGGACUGCAAGGCUGGAGUACGGCAGAGGAGACUGGAAUUCCUGGUGUAGCAGUGAAAUGCGUAGGUAUCAGGAGGAAUACCGAUGGCGAAGGCAGGUCUCUGGGCUGAUACUGACGCUCAUGCACGAAAGCGUGGGGAGCAAACAGG
rnacentral:rRNA from 1 species